CCCAGAAUAGGGUAGUGGUUUGAGCACUGGAUUAUGACUCUGGAGCCCAGGGUUCAAAUCCCUGCUCGAGUA
rnacentral:tRNA from 1 species